GAGCCGGAGGGAAACCGAGUCUUAAUUGGGCGUUAAGUUGCAGGGUAUAGACCCGAAACCCGGUGAUCUAGCCAUGGGCAGGUUGAAGGUUGGGUAACACUAACUGGAGGACCGAACCGACUAAUGUUGAAAAAUUAGCGGAUGACCUGUGGCUGGGGGUGAAAGGCCAAUCAAACCGGGAGAUAGCUGGUUCUCCCCGAAAGCUAUUUAGGUAGCGCCUCGUGAAUUCAUCUCCGGGGGUAGAGCACUGUUUCGGCUAGGGGGCCAUCCCGGCUUACCAACCCGAUGCAAACUGCGAAUACCGGAGAAUGUUAUCACGGGAGACACACGGCGGGUGCUAACGUCCGUCGUGAAGAGGGAAACAACCCAGACCGCCAGCUAAGGUCCCAAAGUCAUAGUUAAGUGGGAAACGAUGUGGGAAGGCCCAGACAGCCAGGAUGUUGGCUUAGAAGCAGCCAUCAUUUAAAGAAAGCGUAAUAGCUCACUGGUCGAGUCGGCCUGCGCGGAAGAUGUAACGGGGCUAAACUAUGCACCGAAGCUGCGGCAGCGACACUAUGUGUUGUUGGGUAGGGGAGCGUUCUGUAAGCCUGUGAAGGUGUGUCGUGAGGCAUGCUGGAGGUAUCAGAAGUGCGAAUGCUGACAUAAGUAACGAUAAAGCGGGUGAAAAGCCCGCUCGCCGGAAGACCAAGGGUUCCUGUCCAACGUUAAUCGGGGCAGGGUGAGUCGACCCCUAAGGCGAGGCCGAAAGGCGUAGUCGAUGGGAAACGGGUUAAUAUUCCCGUACUUGGUGUUACUGCGAAGGGGGGACGGAGAAGGCUAUGUUGGCCGGGCGACGGUUGUCCCGGUUUAAGCGUGUAGGUGUGUGUUCCAGGUAAAUCCGGUUCACUUUAACACUGAGGCGUGAUGACGAGGCACUACGGUGCUGAAGCAACAAAUGCCCUGCUUCCAGGAAAAGCCUCUAAGCAUCAGGUAACAUCAAAUCGUACCCCAAACCGACACAGGUGGUCAGGUAGAGAAUACCAAGGCGCUUGAGAGAACUCGGGUGAAGGAACUAGGCAAAAUGGUGCCGUAACUUCGGGAGAAGGCACGCUGACACGUAGGUGAAGUGAUUUACUCAUGGAGCUGAAGUCAGUCGAAGAUACCAGCUGGCUGCAACUGUUUAUUAAAAACACAGCACUGUGCAAACACGAAAGUGGACGUAUACGGUGUGACGCCUGCCCGGUGCCGGAAGGUUAAUUGAUGGGGUCAGCGCAAGCGAAGCUCCUGAUCGAAGCCCCGGUAAACGGCGGCCGUAACUAUAACGGUCCUAAGGUAGCGAAAUUCCUUGUCGGGUAAGUUCCGACCUGCACGAAUGGCGUAAUGAUGGCCAGGCUGUCUCCACCCGAGACUCAGUGAAAUUGAACUCGCUGUGAAGAUGCAGUGUACCCGCGGCAAGACGGAAAGACCCCGUGAACCUUUACUAUAGCUUGACACUGAACAUUGAGCCUUGAUGUGUAGGAUAGGUGGGAGGCUUUGAAGUGUGGACGCCAGUCUGCAUGGAGCCGACCUUGAAAUACCACCCUUUAAUGUUUGAUGUUCUAACGUGGACCCGUGAUCCGGGUUGCGGACAGUGUCUGGUGGGUAGUUUGACUGGGGCGGUCUCCUCCUAAAGAGUAACGGAGGAGCACGAAGGUUGGCUAAUCCUGGUCGGACAUCAGGAGGUUAGUGCAAUGGCAUAAGCCAGCUUGACUGCGAGCGUGACGGCGCGAGCAGGUGCGAAAGCAGGUCAUAGUGAUCCGGUGGUUCUGAAUGGAAGGGCCAUCGCUCAACGGAUAAAAGGUACUCCGGGGAUAACAGGCUGAUACCGCCCAAGAGUUCAUAUCGACGGCGGUGUUUGGCACCUCGAUGUCGGCUCAUCACAUCCUGGGGCUGAAGUAGGUCCCAAGGGUAUGGCUGUUCGCCAUUUAAAGUGGUACGCGAGCUGGGUUUAGAACGUCGUGAGACAGUUCGGUCCCUAUCUGCCGUGGGCGCUGGAGAACUGAGGGGGGCUGCUCCUAGUACGAGAGGACCGGAGUGGACGCAUCACUGGUGUUCGGGUUGUCAUGCCAAUGGCACUGCCCGGUAGCUAAAUGCGGAAGAGAUAAGUGCUGAAAGCAUCUAAGCACGAAACUUGCCCCGAG
rnacentral:rRNA from 1 species